rnacentral:rRNA from 1 species
AGCGUAGACGGACGGGCAAGUCUGAAGUGAAAGGCAGGGGCUCAACUCCUGGACUGCUUUGGAAACUGUCCAUCUAGAGUGCCGGAGAGGUAAGCGGAAUUCCUAGUGUAGCGGUGAAAUGCGUAGAUAUUAGGAGGGACACCAGUGGCGAAGGCGGCUUACUGGACGGUAACUGACGUUGAGGCUCGAAAGCGUGGGGAGCAAACA